ACGAACGCUGGCGGCGUGCCUAAUACAUGCAAGUCGAACGCUUCUUUUUCCACCGGAGCUUGCUCCACCGGAAAAAGAGGAGUGGCGAACGGGUGAGUAACACGUGGGUAACCUGCCCAUCAGAAGGGGAUAACACUUGGAAACAGGUGCUAAUACCGUAUAACAAUCGAAACCGCAUGGUUUUGAUUUGAAAGGCGCUUUCGGGUGUCGCUGAUGGAUGGACCCGCGGUGCAUUAGCUAGUUGGUGAGGUAACGGCUCACCAAGGCGACGAUGCAUAGCCGACCUGAGAGGGUGAUCGGCCACAUUGGGACUGAGACACGGCCCAAACUCCUACGGGAGGCAGCAGUAGGGAAUCUUCGGCAAUGGACGAAAGUCUGACCGAGCAACGCCGCGUGAGUGAAGAAGGUUUUCGGAUCGUAAAACUCUGUUGUUAGAGAAGAACAAGGAUGAGAGUAACUGUUCAUCCCUUGACGGUAUCUAACCAGAAAGCCACGGCUAACUACGUGCCAGCAGCCGCGGUAAUACGUAGGUGGCAAGCGUUGUCCGGAUUUAUUGGGCGUAAAGCGAGCGCAGGCGGUUUCUUAAGUCUGAUGUGAAAGCCCCCGGCUCAACCGGGGAGGGUCAUUGGAAACUGGGAGACUUGAGUGCAGAAGAGGAGAGUGGAAUUCCAUGUGUAGCGGUGAAAUGCGUAGAUAUAUGGAGGAACACCAGUGGCGAAGGCGGCUCUCUGGUCUGUAACUGACGCUGAGGCUCGAAAGCGUGGGGAGCAAACAGGAUUAGAUACCCUGGUAGUCCACGCCGUAAACGAUGAGUGCUAAGUGUUGGAGGGUUUCCGCCCUUCAGUGCUGCAGCUAACGCAUUAAGCACUCCGCCUGGGGAGUACGACCGCAAGGUUGAAACUCAAAGGAAUUGACGGGGGCCCGCACAAGCGGUGGAGCAUGUGGUUUAAUUCGAAGCAACGCGAAGAACCUUACCAGGUCUUGACAUCGAUCUAAAGGCUCCAGAGAUGGAGAGAUAGCUAUAGAGAAGACAGGUGGUGCAUGGUUGUCGUCAGCUCGUGUCGUGAGAUGUUGGGUUAAGUCCCGCAACGAGCGCAACCCUUAUUGUUAGUUGCCAUCAUUUAGUUGGGCACUCUAGCAAGACUGCCGGUGACAAACCGGAGGAAGGUGGGGAUGACGUCAAAUCAUCAUGCCCCUUAUGACCUGGGCUACACACGUGCUACAAUGGGAAGUACAACGAGUCGCAAAGUCGCGAGGCUAAGCUAAUCUCUUAAAGCUUCUCUCAGUUCGGAUUGUAGGCUGCAACUCGCCUACAUGAAGCCGGAAUCGCUAGUAAUCGCGGAUCAGCACGCCGCGGUGAAUACGUUCCCGGGCCUUGUACACACCGCCCGUCACACCACGAGAGUUUGUAACACCCGAAGUCGGUGAGGUAACCUUUUGGAGCCAGCCGCCUAAGGUGGGAUAGAUGAUUGGGGUG
rnacentral:rRNA from 1 species